UUGAAGGUNAAAACCCCCGGGUUUACCCUGGAAACGNCAUCCAAAAAUGGUGGGUAAGAGUCUUGUAAAGGGGGGAAAAAAUUCCCCCGUGUAGCGGUAAAUGGGUGGAGAUGUGGAGAAAUACGGGUGCGAAGGCGACCCCUGGAGGAAGAUUGACGCUCAGGUGCGAAAGGGUGGGGAGCAAACAGGAUUAGUUACCCUGGUAGUCCACCCUGUAAAGGAUGUCGAUUUGGAGGCUGUGCCCUUGAGGCGUGGCUUCGGGAGCUAACGGGUUAAAUCGACCCCCUGGGGAGUACGGCCGCAAGGUUAAAACUCAAAUGAAUUGACGGGGGCCCGCCCAAGCGGUGGAGCAUGUGGUUUAAUUNGAUGCAACGGGAAGACCCUUACCUAUUCUUGACAUCCACGGAAUCAGGCAGAGAUGCCGGAGUCCCUUCGGGAACCGUGAGACAGGUGCUGCAUGGCUGUCGUCAGCUCGUGUUGUGAAAUGUUGGGUUAAGUCCCGCAACGAGCGCAACCCUUAUCCUUUGUUGCCAGCACUUCGGGUGGGAACUCAAGGGAGACUGCCGGUGAUAAACCGGAGGAAGGUGGGGAUGACGUCAAGUCAUCAUGGCCCUUACGAGUAGGGCUACACACGUGCUACAAUGGCAGAUACAAAGAGAAGCGACCUCGCGAGAGCAAGCGGAACUCAUAAAGUCUGUCGUAGUCCGGAUUGGAGUCUGCAACUCGACUCCAUGAAGUCGGAAUCGCUAGUAAUCGUAGAUCAGAAUGCUACGGUGAAUACGUUCCCGGGCCUUGUACACACCGCCCGUCACACCAUGGGAGUGGGUUGCAAAAGAAGUAGGUAGCUUAACCUUCGGGGGGGCGCUUACCAACUNUGGAUNCNANNGGG
rnacentral:rRNA from 1 species